rnacentral:rRNA from 1 species
GGGGAAUUUUCCGCAAUGGGCGAAAGCCUGACGGAGCAAUACCGCGUGAGGGACGAAGGCUUUUGGGUCGUAAACCUCUUUUCCCUGAGAAGAAGAUCUGACGGUAUCAGGGGAAUCAGCAUCGGCUAACUUCGUGCCAGCAGCCGCGGUAAUACGAGGGAUGCAAGCGUUAUCCGGAAUUAUUGGGCGUAAAGCGUCCGCAGGUGGCUCUGUAAGUCUGUCGUUAAAGAAUGGGGCUCAACCCCAUACAGGCGAUGGAAACUACAAGGCUAGAGUUUGGUAGGGGUCACGGGAAUUCCUAGUGUAGCGGUGAAAUGCGUAGAUAUUAGGAAGAACACCAGCGGCGAAAGCGCGUGACUGGGCCAGUACUGACACUCAUGGACGAAAGCUAGGGGAGCGAAAGGGAUUAGAUACCCCUGUAGUCCUAGCCGUAAACGAUGAUAACUAGGUGUUGCCCGUAUCGACCCGGGCAGUGCCGUAGCCAACGCGUUAAGUUAUCC